rnacentral:miRNA from 1 species
AUAUAUGUAUGUAUGUAUGUAUGCAUGCAUGCAUGCAUGUAUGUGUGUGUGUAUGUGUGUAUGUAUG